AUUGAACGCUAACGGCGUGCUUAACACAUGCAAGUCGAGCGGCAGCAUGAUCUGUAGCAAUACAGAUUGAUGGCGAGCGGCGGACGGGUGAGUAAUGCAUAGGAAUCUGCCUUGUAGUGGGGGAUAACCCGGGGAGACUCGGGCUAAUACCGCAUAAUCUCUACGGAGCAAAGUGGGGGAUCGUAAGACCUCACGCUAAAAGAUGAGCCUAUGUUGGAUUAGCUAGUUGGUGAGGUAAUGGCUCACCAAGGCGACGAUCCAAAGCUGGUCUGAGAGGAUGAUCAGCCACACUGGGACUGAGACACGGCCCAGACUCCUACGGGAGGCAGCAGUGGGGAAUAUUGGAAAAUGGGCGAAAGCCUGAUCCAGCAACGCCGUGUGUGUGAAGAAGGCCUUCGGGUUGUAAAGCACUUUUAGUUGGGAAGAAAAGCUCAUGGGUAAUAUCCAUGAGUGCUGACGUUACCAACAGAAAAAGCACUAGCUAACUCUGUGCCAGCCGCCGCCGUAA
rnacentral:rRNA from 1 species